rnacentral:rRNA from 1 species
AAAGGGUGCGUAGGUGGCCUGUUAAGUCAGGGGUGAAAGACGGUAGCUUAACUAUCGCAGUGCCCUUGAUACUGAUGGGCUUGAAUGAACUAGAGGUAGGCGGAAUGUGACAAGUAGCGGUGAAAUGCAUAGAUAUGUCACAGAACACCAAUUGCGAAGGCAGCUUACUAUGGUUUUAUUGACACUGAGGCACGAAAGCGUGGGGAUCAAACAGGAUUAGAUACCCCUGU